CAGGCCUAACACAUGCAAGUCGAACGCCCCCGCAAGGGGGAGUGGCAGACGGGUGAGUAACACGUGGGAACAUACCCUUCGGUUCGGAACAACGCCGGGAAACUGGCGCUAAUACCGGAUACGCCCUUUGGGGAAAGGCUUGACCGCCGAAGGAGUGGCCCGCGUUCGAUUAGCUUGAUGGCGGGGUAACGGCCCACCAUGGCAACGAUCGAUAGCUGGUCUGAGAGGAUGGCCAGCCACAUUGGGACUGAGACACGGCCCAAACUCCUACGGGAGGCAGCAGUGGGAAUAUUGGACAAUGGGCGCAAGCCUGAUCCAGCCAUGCCGCGUGAGUGAUGACGGCCUUAGGGUUGUAAAGCUCUUUCGCACGCGACGAUAAUGACGGUAGCGUGAGAAGAAGCCCCGGCUAACUUCGUGCCAGCAGCCGCGGUAAU
rnacentral:rRNA from 1 species